rnacentral:rRNA from 1 species
UACGUAGGGGGCAAGCGUUGUCCGGAAUUAUUGGGCGUAAAGAGCGCGUAGGCGGUCCGAUAAGUCGGCUGUGAAAGUCAAGGGCUCAACCCUUGAAAGCCGGCCGAUACUGUCGGACUAGAGUCCGGAAGAGGCGAGUGGAAUUCCCGGUGUAGCGGUGAAAUGCGUAGAUAUCUGGAGGAACACCGGUGGCGAAGGCGGCAUCCUGGACCGGCAUUGACGCUGAGGCGCGAAAGCCAGGGGAGCAAACGGG